rnacentral:rRNA from 1 species
GUGUCAGCAGCCGCGGUAAUACGUAGGGGGCGAGCGUUGUCCGGAAUCAUUGGGCGUAAAGAGCGUGUAGGCGGCCCGGUAAGUCCGCUGUGAAAACCCGGGGCUCAACCCCGGGCGUGCAGUGGAAACUGCCGGGCUAGAGGGCGGCAGAGGCGAGUGGAAUUCCCGGUGUAGCGGUGAAAUGCGCAGAUAUCGGGAGGAACACCAGUAGCGAAGGCGGCUCGCUGGGCCGUUCCUGACGCUGAGACGCGAAAGCUAGGGGAGCGAACAGGAUUAGAAACCCCCGUAGUCC